UGAGGAAUCUUGGACAAUGGGGGAAACCCUGAUCCAGCGACGCCGCGUGAGUGAUGAAGCCUUUCGGGGUGUAAAGCUCUUUCAGCGGGGACAAUCAUGAUGGUACCCGCACAAGCAGCUGCGGCUAACUACGUGCCAGCAGCCGCGGUAAUACGUAGGCAGCAAGCGUUGUUCGGAAUUACUGGGCGUAAAGCGAGUGUAGGCGGUCUGCCAAGUCUGUUGUGAAAUCUCCCGGCUCAACUGGGAGGGUGCGUCGGAAACUGGCAGGCUCGAGUGCGAGAGGGGAGAGUGGAAUUCCUGGUGUAGCGGUGGAAUGCGUAGAUAUCAGGAGGAACACCGGUGGUGAAGACGGCUCUCUGGAUCGCCACUGACGCUGAGACUCGAAAGCGUGGGGAGCAAACAGGAUUAGAUACCCCCGUAGUCC
rnacentral:rRNA from 1 species